rnacentral:rRNA from 1 species
CGGCGGACGGGUGAGUAACGCGUGGGUAACCUGCCUCAUACAGGGGGAUAACAGUUGGAAACGGCUGCUAAUACCGCAUAAGCGCACAGUACCGCAUGGUACCGUGUGAAAAACUCCGGUGGUAUGGGAUGGACCCGCGUCUGAUUAGCUAGUUGGUGGGGUAACGGCCUACCAAGGCGACGAUCAGUAGCCGACCUGAGAGGGUGACCGGCCACAUUGGGACUGAGACACGGCCCAA